UCCUGUAGGUCAGAGGUGAACAUCCGGGAAAGUUGUAGUUAGAACCACGUGACCCAGGCUCUUCCUUUUUCCCUGGGACAAAUCUCCAUUGGCGUUGUAGAAGUUGUCAACCCUUGACUUGUGACAGCUCACCAUGUCCGGAGGUUUGGAUGCUCUCGCCCUGAAGGAGGAGGAUGUGACGAAGUUCCUGGCCUGUGCCACCCACCUGGGGGCCAGCAAUGUGGACUUCCAGAUGGAGCAGUACGUCUUCAAGCGCAAGGCUGAUGGUGUUCACAUCAUC